GACGAACGCUGGCGGCGUGCCUAAUACAUGCAAGUAGAACGCUGAAGGAGGAGCUUGCUUCUCUGGAUGAGUUGCGAACGGGUGAGUAACGCGUAGGUAACCUGCCUUGUAGCGGGGGAUAACUAUUGGAAACGAUAGCUAAUACCGCAUAAGAGUAGAUGUUGCAUGACAUUUGCUUAAAAGGUGCAAUUGCAUCACUACCAGAUGGACCUGCGUUGUAUUAGCUAGUUGGUGGGGUAACGGCUCACCAAGGCGACGAUACAUAGCCGACCUGAGAGGGUGAUCGGCCACACUGGGACUGAGACACGGCCCAGACUCCUACGGGAGGCAGCAGUAGGGAAUCUUCGGCAAUGGACGGAAGUCUGACCGAGCAACGCCGCGUGAGGGAAGAAGGUUUUCGGAUCGUAAAGCUCUGUUGUAAGAGAAGAACGAGUGUGAGAGUGGAAAGUUCACACUGUGACGGUAUCUUACCAGAAAGGGACGGCUAACUACGUG
rnacentral:rRNA from 1 species